GGGCAUGUAGCUCAAUUGGUUAGAGCACUAAGCUUAUACCUUAGCGGUUCCUGGUUCGAGUCCAGGCAUGCCCA
rnacentral:tRNA from 1 species